rnacentral:rRNA from 1 species
CCUUGGCUGGGCGGUCCACCUUUGGAUGGUACUGCUCUGGCUGGGGCUUACCUUUCUGGUGAGCCGUCAUGCCCUUUGCUGGGUGUGGCGGGGAACCAGGACUUUUACCUUGAAAAAAUUAGAGUGUUUAAAGCAGGCAAUUGCUUGAAUACAUUAGCAUGGAAUAAUGGAAUAGGACCUCGGUUCUAUUUUGUUGGUUUCUAGGACCGAAGUA